UACGUGGGGGGCAAGCGUUGUUCGGAAUUACUGGGCGUAAAGGGCGUGUAGGCGGUUCGGUAAGUCCGCUGUGAAAGUCGGGGGCUCAACCCUCGAAUGCCGGUGGAUACUGUCGAACUAGAGUGCGGAAGAGGCGAGUGGAAUUCCUGGUGUAGCGGUGAAAUGCGCAGAUAUCAGGAGGAACACCAAUUGCGAAGGCAGCUCGCUGGGACGUAACUGACGCUGAGACGCGAAAGCGUGGGGAGCAAACAGG
rnacentral:rRNA from 1 species